rnacentral:rRNA from 1 species
CUCGCCUGCACUUAGGGAUAAGCCUGGGAAACUGGGUCUAAUACCGGAUAGGAGCCAUUUUUAGUGUGAUGGUUGGAAAGUUUUUUCGGUGUAGGAUGAGCUCGCGGCCUAUCAGCUUGUUGGUGGGGUAAUGGCCUACCAAGGCGGCGACGGGUAGCCGGCCUGAGAGGGUGGACGGCCACACUGGGACUGAGAUACGGCCCAG